ACAUGCAGUCGAGCGGACAGAUGGGAGCUUGCUCCCUGAUGUUAGCGGCGGACGGGUGAGUAACACGUGGGUAACCUGCCUGUAAGACUGGGAUAACUCCGGGAAACCGGGGCUAAUACCGGAUGCUUGAUUGAACCGCAUGGUUCAAUUAUAAAAGGUGGCUUUUAGCUACCACUUACAGAUGGACCCGCGGCGCAUUACCUAGUUGGUGAGGUAACGGCUCACCAAGGCAACGAUGCGUAGCCAACCUGAGAGGGUGAUCGGCCACACUGGGACUGAAACACGGCCCAAACCCCUACGGGAGGCAGCAUUAGGGAAUCUUCCGCAAUGGACAAAAGUCUGACGGACCAACGCCCCGUGAGUGAUGAAGGUUUUCGGAUCGUAAAACUCUUUUGUUAGGGAAAAACAAGUACCGUUCGAAUAGGGCGGUACCUUGACGGUACCUAACCAAAAAGCCACGGCUAACUACUUGCCACCACCCGCGGUAAUACUUAGGUGGCAAGCGUUGUCCGGAAUUAUUGGGCGUAAAGCGCGCGCAGGCGGUUUCUUAAUUCUGAUGUGAAACCCCCCGGCUCACCGGGAAGGGUCAUUGGAACUGGGAAACUUGAUUGCAAAAAGGAAGUGGAAUUCCCGUGUAGGUUAAAUGCUAGAGAUUGAAGGAACCCUUGCCAAGGCAACUCUUGGUCUGUACUAACCUAAGCCGAAGCUUGGGACCAAGGGAUAAAUACCCUGUUGUCCCGCCGUAACGAUAGUCCUAGUGUAGAAGUUUCCGCCUUUAUGCUCCGCAACGCGUAGGCCUCCGC
rnacentral:rRNA from 1 species